rnacentral:rRNA from 1 species
GCCGGAGAUGACCGUUAUCAGGGUUCGACUAAGCCAUGCGAGGCGCGAGCUAUCUGGGCUCGCCGGACUGCUCAGUAACACGUAGUUAACCUGCCCUUAUCUGGUGGAUAAUCCCGGGAAACUGGGGCUAAUACGCCAUAGGCUCUGGAGGCUGGAAUGCGCCAGUGCCGAAAGCUACGGCGGAUAAGGAUGGGACUGCGGCGUAUCAGCUCGUAGUGAGUGUAAAGUACUCACUAGGCUAUAACGCGUAGGGGACAUGAGAGUGUGAGCCUCGAGAUGCCUUCUGAGACAUGAAGGCAGGUCCUACGGGACGCAGCAGGCGCGAAAACUUUCCAAUUCGCUAGCGCGUGAGAAGGGAACCUUGAGUGGCUAUGCAAUGCAUAGUCUUUUGCUUAGUCCAAACAACUAGGCGAAUAAGUGGUGGGUAAGACAGGUGCCAGCCGCCGCGGUAAUACCUGCGCCACGAAUGGUCAUCGCGUUUAUUGGGUCUAAAGUGUCCGUAGCCGGCCCUGCAAGUCUCUGGUGAAAUCUGGCAGCAAACUGUCAGGCGUGCUGGAGAUACUACAAGGCUUGGGAUCGGGAGAGGGCUGGAGUAUUCCGCCGGGUAGGGGUUAAAUCCUUUAAUCCGCGGAGGACUACCGGUGGCGAAGGCCCCACCCUGGAACGAGUCCGACGGUGAGGGACGAAAGCGUGGGGAGCCAAAGGGAUAGAUAUGAGUAGUUCGUUUUAAUUCACUAGAAACCCCAGUAUUGGGAGAGGAUUGAAAUGAAGAGCAAGUAUUAUCUACUUGGUUUGUUUGCAGGCGAUGGCUGGUUUCACAGCUUCUAGAGGAAUUGCCAUAGGAACAAAUUCAGAUGCAAUAUUUGGUCGUAAGAAGAAGUAGCAAGGUAAUUGCAGAAAUCUCUAUAUGGAGUCGCUAAAAUAAAGAAAAGGAUUUAUAGCGAUGGUCAUAAGAUGAAUCUAAUAUUCAUCUGGAAGAAGCGCGUCCAAGAUGAUUUUGCAAAACUGCUUUCUACUAGCAAGCAAAAAUCGAAAACCUUUAAACCGCCUAAAAUGUCAGCGGAAGAAAGGCGAGAAUUUGUAUCUGGAUUGUUCGAUGCAGAAGCAUCUGCAUAUAAUUGGCAUAACAAACCGAGAGUUGGUCUUGGAAUUUAUAAUAAGAUUGCAGCGGAAUUUAUCGUAAAAACCUUACGAUCAGAUUCGAUAAAAGCUUAUUUAAGCACCUGCAAGAGUGGAGAAUUCAAGAUCGACAUAACAGGAAAAGAUAAUGUAGAAAAGCUUUUUGAAAAAUAUAGUUUUCUCCGAUUGAUCUUCCCUAAAAUGGGAAAGUCCACGCUGUAAACGUUGUCCGUUUGGUGUGGCAUGUCCUACGAGGUCAUGCUGUGCCGGAGCGUAGGUGUUAAACGGACCACCUGGGGAGUACGGCCGCAAGGCUGAAACUUAAUGGAAUUGGCGGGGGAGCACAC